rnacentral:rRNA from 1 species
GACGAACGCUGGCGGCGUGCUUAACACAUGCAAGUCGAACGGUGAAAGCGGAGCUUGCUCCGCUGGAUCAGUGGCGAACGGGUGAGUAACACGUGGGCAACCUGCCCCUGACUUCGGGAUAACUCCUCGAAAGAGGUGCUAAUACCGGAUACGAAUCCUGCAGGCAUCUGCGGGAUAGGAAAGUUUUUGGGUCAGGGAUGGGCCCGCGGCCUAUCAGCUUGUUGGUGAGGUAGUGGCUCACCAAGGCGACGACGGGUAGCCGGCCUGAGAGGGCGACUGGCCACACUGGGACUGAGACACGGCCCAGACUCCUACGGGAGGCAGCAGUGGGGAAUAUUGCACAAUGGGCGCAAGCCUGUUGCAGCAACGCCGCGUGAGGGAUGACGGCCUUCGGGUUGUAAACCUCUUUUAGUAGGGAAGAAGCGAAAGUGACGGUACCUGCAGAAAAAGCACCGGCUAACUACGUGCCAGCAGCCGCGGUAA